rnacentral:pre_miRNA from 1 species
AAGUCAGUAAAAGGGAAAUUCAACUUUGGCAAAGGAAGUACAAUUAGUGAGACAUGUUCACAAGUUUGAAGUUGAGUCUUUUGCCAAAGGAGAGUUGCCCUUUACUGUUCU